CAUUGAUUUCAUUAUAUUGUUACUGGUUAUGAUCAACUUCGAGAGAUACAUGUAUAGACGAGUCUACUUAAUUAAAGAAGAAAAAGAAAAAUUUGUUCUGUAUGUUCCAACAUCUGUAAAUUGACUCGUAUUAGUUUGUGCUUUCUAUCUCAAGUGUAAGAAUUUAGGAUGUUAGAACUGUAUGAGAAAAUUAUUCACGAAUGGCAGGAAAAAGAUAUGUCGAGACUAAGAAAAAAACAUUUAGGCGAAUAUUCGCAUUCUAUUCCGGAUUAAUAAUUAAUUCCGAUUUCGAUGUUAUUCUUUUUUCCUUUCGAGAGUUUGCGAGAGGUAUGCACUUCCAAUUUUCGCGCGGUGGAUGGAUAGGUCGAUCUCGACGAGAUUUUUCGUUAUAUAUAUAUAUGUAUAGGACUUAUAUAUAAAUUAAUAUUAACUCAAACUUUGUGAGAAUAUAAAUAUGAUAGUUAUAAAUCGAGAAAUUAACGAUACACUUAUAUUGCGUACGAAACAAGAAGAAGAAAAGAAGAGGAAACCCGUAUAUUAUUUGAUAACGAGGAAUCAUAUGAUAAGGUAUAUUCAAUAUUCGACGAGUUUUUAUUGUUUUCUUCUCCUUUUUUUUGUAGUAUCAUUUUUUGAAAGAAGCCUGAUUAGAUUUUUAUAAUGUCUGACUGUACUUGAUCGAGAUAGGGAGAAGAAGCAGCUCAGUUUGUAUCAACGCUUAUGACCGAAUUUAGGGCUGGUAUACCGAAGGAACUUAAUGCGAUGCAUCUUUAAACAGAAUUAGGAACUAUGAAAAAGAGUAUAUAAAUUAUAAAUUCGUGCUCCUUCAGUAUUCCGCGAAUGUGUAUUACAAAUAUUGCUCGGCAUUAAUCUCUGCUUCGGCGUCCGUCUCUAAAAUCGGUCUAAUUAUGACAAGUUAAGAGACAAAGUAACUUGCGCACGUCUUAGUAUUAAUGAAAGAAAAGUAUGAGUGUGUAAAAAAAAAGAUAAUGGUGCGAUCCAGGGUUAAAGUUAACGAUCAGAAACAUUAAAAGACGCGGAGUCCUGCAUUUUCACAAAUAUCUCGGAGCGAUAGAGACUCAGUAAACAUCAAUUAAAGUAACGUAACAUCAGUGUUAUAAUUUCAAACUCAACAACAUAAUGUAUAACACUUGUGUUACAUAAGUUACAUUGUUGAGUUUUUAGGUGAUGUUUACUGGAGACUUUCAUCUUUCCGUUAUUUUUUUCGCGAUAGUUAUUUUAACAAUACAGCUAUUAGCAGCUAUUAACGUUUAUAAUUUGUUUUAUUUGCAAAUCGGGUCGCGCGAGAUGCAAAACUGCCUGCACAAAAAAUUAUUACCCCUAUCGACGCACAACCCGAUUGAAGCGCAUCUUAGCAUGUAGACACGUUCGCUGUGAUAACAGUAUGAUCCUUUUAUCGUGCGAACAAAAGUACAAAAAUUGUACCAGACAUGCCUUAUCGUAAUAAUAAUAAGUGAUGCACUACGAAAGUACUCAUUAUUUUUGACAUUGACAAACGAAUAGAAACGCAUCGCAAACGUAUAGAAAAAUACGAGAAGCUCUGAGAAAAAUACGGGCAGGCGAAUCUUUUAAUAUAACGCGAAAAUGCUGGCAACUUUGCAUCCGUUUGCGCGUCCAUAUCUUGUUGAUCGUUCCAAUUGCAUUUAAUAAUCCGCUACGUGCGCCACAUGUAUUUUUAUCGUCAUUUUAGAUUCUUAAAAAUAGGUUCCUAAUACGCGAAUCAUUAAAUGUGUGUAUGCAUGUUUUACUGUAGCAUUUUACGAUGUUUUUGAAAAUGCUUUGUGAUCUCCGAGCGAAAGAAAGAAGUAGGCCUAUAGUAAUAAAGUCGCUAUUUUACUGCAGAUUGAAAAAAAGGAAAUCUUCGAUUUUGAUCCUUCCCUGAUGACGGAAGGUUCAUCCUUUAACUUUUGUAAGAAAAAAAAA